rnacentral:lncRNA from 1 species
UAUUCAAUGAAAUGCAUUAUGCAAGAGCCCAAAUCAGUACCAGAUCUUUAGUUGCUGAGAAUAGCCUCAAUUUCAUGUGUAUUUGGAGAUAGCUCUAUUUUAAAUCUCAUUAGGUAAAUUUCUAAAACUGUGAUUAAACUGUAGCCACCCAAGGGAAAAUUAGAAAUAAAUUAGAAGUGUUACUGACUUGAGAUCUCUAAUUCUUUCUUGUGUGCAUACAGAAAUUAAGGAGCUUCUCUUUUCUGUAUUACAGGCUUGGAUGAGAAAUCCAGAAGAAAGUAUGUGUGAAAGAAAAAGAUGACAUCUGUGCAUGGCAAAACAAAUCCAAAGAUUAUUACAAUAAAAACAAACGGAGGUCAAGAGAACACUUACUAGUAAAGUGCAUUCUCCAGGUUCUGCUCUGUGUACUCUGCAUGGAAACUUCCAUUUACUACUUGGUCCUUGACCUAAAAAGCCCUCUUUCCUCCUUUUUCCAAGUGUGGAACCAGCAUUCAUGUACUUCUGCCAUCUUGCAUGGUGGGG